UUACGGCCAUAUCACGUUAAAAAACCGGUUCUCGUACGAUCAUCAAAGUUAAACAAUGUCAAGCCUGGUCAGUACUUAGAUGGGUGACCGCUUAGGAAUAAUAAAUACUG